rnacentral:rRNA from 1 species
CCCUUAGAUGUUCUGGGCCGCACGCGCGCUACACUGACGGAGCCAACGAGUACUUUCCUUGUCCGGAAGGACUGGGUAAUCUUGUGAAACUUCGUCGUGCUGGGGAUAGAGCAUUGCAAUUAUUGCUCUUCAACGAGGAAUUCCUAGUAAGCGUGAGUCAUCAGCUCGCGUUGAAUACGUCCCUGCCCUUUGUACACACCGCCCGUCGCUCCUACCGAUUGAGUGGUCCGGUGAGGCUUUGGGAUCUGAGCGGAAAGAGCGUUUCGCUGUUUCUGCUCGGAAAACUCAGUCGAACCUUAUCAUUUAGAGGAAGGAGAAGUCGUAACA